UAACCAGACUCCUACGGGAGGCAGCAGUGGGGAAUAUUGCACAAUGGGGGAAACCCUGAUGCAGCAACGCCGCGUGAGUGAAGAAGUAUUUCGGUCUGUAAAGCUCUAUCAGCAGGGAAGAAAAUGACGGUACCUGAGUAAGAAGCCCCGGCUAACUACGUGCCAGCAGCCGCGGUAAUACGUGGGGGGCAAGCGUUAUCCGGAUUUACUGGGUGUAAAGGGAGCGUAGACGGCGAUGCAAGUCUGAAGUGAAAGCCCGGGGCUCAACCCCGGGACUGCUUUGGAAACUGUAUGGCUGGAGUAUGGGAGGGGUAAGCGGAAUUCCUGGUGUAGCGGUGAAAUGCGUAGAUAUCAGGAGGAACACCGGUGGCGAAGGCGGCCUGCUGGACGGUAACUGACGCUGAGGCUCGAAAGCGUGGGGAGCAAACAGGAUUAGAUACCCCGGUA
rnacentral:rRNA from 1 species